ACAGAAGGCAGGAUCAGUGAUGAUCUCGACCAUGGCCUGGUCCCCUCUCCUCCUCACCCUCCUCAUUCACUGCACAGGGUCCUGGGCCCAGUCUGUGUUGAGUCAGCCACCCUCAGUGUCUGGGGCCCUGGGCCAGACGGUCACCAUCCCCUGCGCUGGAGGUGCCAACAACAUCGGUAUUGCUGGUGUGAACUGGUACCAACAGCUUCCAGGAAAGGCCCCUAAACUCCUCAUCUAUGAUAGUAGCGAUUGACUCUCAGGGGUCCCUGACAGAUUUUCUGGCUCCACAUCUGGCAACACAGGCUCCUUGACCAUCACUGGGCUCCAGGCUGAGGACGAGGCUGAUUAUUACUGCCAGUCUCUUCACUUUACUCAAGGUGCUGACACAGUGCUCCAGGCCUGUG